AGACACUUUUGACAGGUAAUUAAUAGACAGUUAGUGUGAAUUUCUACGAUUGCCAAACCAAUUUCUUCGUUCAAUUCGCACACUCACACAUGAGUUUAUCGUUGAUUUGUCCUUGCGCAAUUGAAACAUUUCCUCGCUUAUCUGCCACAUCAUCCGGACAUGAGAUUAAUGAGAUUUUGAAUCUGAAUUGAACAGGAUAUCAAUUCAAAUGAGAGACGAUCAAUGAGCAAA
ensembl:ncRNA F54H5.10 ncRNA